GGUGAGAUGGCCGAGCGGUCUAAGGCGCUGGUUUAAGGCACCAGUCCGUUCCCUUCGGGGGCGUGGGUUCGAAUCCCACUUUCAUCA
rnacentral:tRNA from 1 species